GAUGAAGAACGUAGCGAAAUGCGAUAAGUAAUGUGAAUUGCAGAAUUCAGUGAAUCAUCGAAUCUUUGAACGCACAUUGCGCCCGCCAGUAUUCUGGCGGGCAUGCCUGUUCGAGCGUCAUUUCAACCAUCAAGCCCCCGGCUUGCGUUGGGGACCUGCGGCUGCCGCAGGCCCUGAAAAGCAGUGGCGGGCUCGCUGUCACACCGAGCGUAGUAGCAUACAUCUCGCUCUGGGCGUGCUGCGGGUUCCGGCCGUUAAACCACCUUCAUAACCCAAGGUUGACCUCGGAUCAGGUAGGAAUACCCGCUGAACUUAAGCAUAUCAAUAAGCGGAGGA
rnacentral:misc_RNA from 1 species